CACUUAACCCACCUUCUUCCCAGUCAACCCCCACCUCUCUCCCAUGUUUCUCCCGCUCCACCCCCAACCUCCACCUCUCGCGGCUCCAGCAACCUAAGACCCUGCCACCCUAUCCAACUACCUUCAUCGCCGCUGCCGGACUGGACGCGCGCCGCCACCACUCGAUUUGCCGCUCCACUCCAUCACCUAGCUCCCUGUCUGCCGCGCCCUGGAGUGGAUCCAGAUGGUUGCGCCCGUGGAAAGGAUCCGGCGACCAGGGCUUUCCCAGUGCCCUACCUUCCUUACCGCGCGCCGCCCCUGCUAGCUCUUGGAUGCCCAGCCAUGGCUCCUCUCUUGGCCGAGCUCUCCUUGCCGUCCCCGACCCACCGUGGAGCUCCCUCGGCCGAAUCCAUCGGCUGUCGAAUCCGGCGCCGGCGAGCGGAUGGGCCGCCUCCCCUGCACCACCCCAGCCAGAUCCAGUCGGUUGCCUCCGCACCCACUUCUCCUUCGCCUCCUUCUCGGGCAAACUACUCCUCCCGCGGAUCCAUCGGCCACCGAAUCCCAUGUCGGCUGGCUGUCGCGGCCCCACGCCACCAGAUCCUGUCGAGGGGGUGCUCCGUCGGGCUUGUGGAGGCGAGGUGCUGGUAGGAGGUCACCUCCACCGUGCAGUGCACACCGGCGCACGUGCAGUUCAUCAACACAGCGUGCAAAUCCCCCACACGGAGAAUUCACCAGGGGGACAUCAAUGAAAAAGUCAUGGAUGGCUGCGAUGAUUAGGGUCUCCAAAUGCAAAAACUGAAGUAUUUUGUUUUGAGGGCAUGCAGCGCAAAAUACUUAUGUUUUUAGGAGUUCAUUUUGUUUUCAGUUUUUGUAGUCGAAUAUAUGCGUCUCUGCAGUAUGAUGGUUGUGCAGUUCGAUUGCAAUUGAUGUGUGUUUUCUCCUCCAUGGCACUGCAAGCUACUGAUUUUCCAUGAACACGCUGUUGUCUGCCAUUCCAGGUUCACUGCCAUAGCAGUUUGGUGUGUGUGCUAAACAAGUCUUGCAAUUCCCUUGCGCUCUCCACCGGUAGGAGCCUGCCCGGCCUCUGCCUCAUCGACUCGUUAAAACUGAAUUGCAACAUACCAAGGAGGAGAGUGGUGUGGGCUCCAUUCUUUCGGCUCUGGUGAGGCCUCCAACGAGCGCCUCGCCACCAGACCAAAACUCGCAAUUGCCGUUGUUCCUUCGGUGCCGUCGGUGGUCGUCCCUUCAUUGUUGGGAGUCGUUGCAGUCCGUCGGCGACGCGCUUGCAGCUCGCCGCCCUUAGACAGUCCCAUGGCGGAGCUCUACUAUCUGGGCUGUCCCGCUCCCCUCUCUUCUCCUACCUCCGGAUGUAGUACGUCAGUGCCGUGGGCGCCGCACCAGUGUAGUUCGCCGGUGACGAAUGGUGCAGUGCACCUCGCCGUGCGGUGCGGCUCAGAGUAGUUUCCCCCUCCCCCCUUUUUAUCUUUUCCACCUUUUUUCUGGAUUUUCCAUGUGUAGUUCAACCAGAUCCCGGGAGCAGUGCACUGCCCGCCCUGAUGUAGUUCAUCCAUAGCCACCACGCGAGGUCAUCGUUGCUAGUGUCGUGACUCCAAGCAGAUGGCGGGUGGAGUAGCCCACCUUGCACUGCAGCAUGGCGUUUCCAUUAUGGUGUCGCUCCUCCUCCCAUCUCUCAUCCUUUCUUGCAGUUCACUAUAUAGAUUGAAGCAGUGCUCCACCUACUUACCUGCAUCACAAAGUUCACUUGAAAAAAUGUUAACCACAUCACCGGUGGUACUUUGAUUGUUGUUCAGCUGGUGGCCCACACAGGCUAUGGAGGCGCUGCUGCAAGUUUACCUACAGACGUCCUCCACCUCGACGAGGUAUGCGAGAUCCAACCGGAGACUGCCCCAGCCACCAGGAGCAUACCCACUCGCCGACGAGACAGCAACCCACAAGCGUCGUGCGUGUGCAGUUCAUUUUUGCGUAUGCUUGCAAAAUGCGGUGUGUGUAUGCGUACAGUCCACCCCCUCGGUCAUGAGUGUAUUUUGUGAGAAAAUAUUUUGUAUUGUCACAUGUGACGAUUUUGCUUGUUUUAUGUAUGCUUGUAAAAUGCAUUGUGUGUAUGAGUGCAGUGCACUCUUGUGGUUCCCUUCGUAAAAACAAUAGAAAACAUCACAAAGAAGUUCACU